UCGGGAAUUUUGGACAAUGGGCGCAAGCCUGAUCCAGCCAUACCGCGUGAGUGAAGAAGGCCUUCGGGUUGUAAAGCUCUUUCAGACGGAAAGAAACGGUCGCGGCUAAUACCCGCGACUAAUGACGGUACCGUAAGAAGAAGCACCGGCUAACUACGUGCCAGCAGCCGCGGUAAUACGUAGGGUGCGAGCGUUAAUCGGAAUUACUGGGCGUAAAGCGUGCGCAGGCGGUUUGGUAAGACAGAUGUGAAAUCCCCGGGCUUAACCUGGGAACUGCAUUUGUGACUGCCAGACUAGAGUGUAGCAGAGGGGGGUAGAAUUCCACGUGUAGCAGUGAAAUGCGUAGAUAUGUGGAGGAAUACCGAUGGCGAAGGCAGCCCCCUGGGCUAACACUGACGCUCAUGCACGAAAGCGUGGGGAGCAAACAGGAUUAGAUACCCCCGUAGUCCCUGAGCGGGCUGGCAAGGCGCAU
rnacentral:rRNA from 1 species